rnacentral:rRNA from 1 species
AACGAACGCUGGCGGCAUGCCUAACACAUGCAAGUCGAACGAGACCUUCGGGUCUAGUGGCGCACGGGUGCGUAACGCGUGGGAACCUGCCCUUAGGUUCGGAAUAACUCCCCGAAAGGGGUGCUAAUACCGGAUAAUGUCUUCGGACCAAAGAUUUAUCGCCUUUGGAUGGGCCCGCGUUGGAUUAGCUAGUUGGUAGGGUAAAAGCCUACCAAGGCGACGAUCCAAAGCUGGUCUGAGAGGAUGUUCAGCCACACUGGGACUGAGACACGGCCCAGACCCUUGCGGGAGGCAGCAGGGGGGAAUGUGGGACAAUGGGCGAAAGCAUGAUCCAUCCAUGCCGCGUGGGUGUUGAAGGCCUUAGGGUUGUAAAGCUCUUUUAACCGGGCUGAUAAUGACGGUACCGGGAGAAAAAGCUCCGGCUAACUCCGUG